rnacentral:rRNA from 1 species
UAACUGAAGAGUUUGAUCCUAGCUCAGAUUUAACGCUGGCGGCACGCCUUACACAUGCAAGUCGCACGGCAGCGCGGGGAGCUUGCUCCCUGGCGGCGAGUGGCGAACGGGUGAGUAAUGCAUGGGAACAUGCCCAAUGGUGGGGAAUAUCCUAAGGAAACUUAGGGUAAUUCCGCAUAAUCUCUACGGAGCAAAGCGGGGGAUCUUCGGACCUCGCGCCGAUGGAUUGGCCCAUGUCCGAUUAGUUUGUUGGUGGGGUAACGGCCUACCAAGACCGCGAUCGGUAGCUGGUUUUAGCGAAUGAUCAGCCACACCGGGACUGAGACACGGCCCGGACACCUACGGGUGGCAGCAGUGGGGAAUAUUUGACAAUGGGGGAAACCCUGAUCAAGCGAUGCCGCGUGAUUGAAGAAGGCCUUCGGGUUGUAAAGAUCUUUCAUUGAGGAGGAAAAAGCCGAUCCUAAUAAGAGCGGCCCAUGACAUUACUCAAAGAAGAAGGACCGGCUAACUACGUGCCAGCAGCCGCGGUAAUACGUAGGGUCCGAGCGUUAAUCGGAAUUACUGGGCGUAAAGCGUGCGUAGGCGGCCGCCUAAGUCGGAUGUGAAAGCCCCGGGCUCAACCUGGGAACUGCGUUCGAUACUGGGCGGCUUGAGACCGGCAGAGGAAAGUAGAAUUCUCGCAAGUAGUGGUGAAAUGCGUAGAUAUGCGGAGGAAUACUCGUGGCGAAGGCGGCUUUCUGGGCCGUGUCUGACGCUGUAGCACGAAAGCGUGGGUAGCAAACAGGAUUAGAUACCCUGGUAGUCCACGCCGUAAACGAUGUCUGCUAGUCGUUGGGAGGUUCGCCUCGCAGUGACGAAGCUAACGCGUGAAGCAGACCGCCUGGGGAGUACGAUCGCAAGAUUAAAACUCAAAGGAAUUGACGGGGACCCGCACAAGCGGUGGAUGAUGUUGAUUAAUUCGAUGCAACGCGAAAAACCUUACCUACCCUUGACAUGCUAUGGAAGGUCCGCGGAAACGCGGCCGUCUUCGGACUGUAGCACAGGUGUUGCAUGGCUGUCGUCAGCUCGUGUCGUGAGAUGUUGGGUUAAGUCCCGCAACGAGCGCAACCCUUGUCGUCUGUUGCCAGCGGGUAAUGCCGGGGACUCUGACGAAACUGCCAGUGUUCAACUGGAGGAAGGAGGGGAUGAGGUCAAGUCAUCAUGGCCCUUACGGGUAGGGCUUCAAACAUCAUACAAUGGCCGGUACAGAGGGCUGCGAACUCGCGAGGGGGAGCUAAUCUCACAAAACCGGUCUUAGUCAGGAUUGCAGUCUGCAACUCGACUGCAUGAAUCAGGAAUCGCUAGUAAUCGCAGAUCAGCAUGCUGCGGUGAAUACGUUCUCGGGUCUUGUACACACCGCCCAUCACACCAUGGAAGUGGGGGAUACUGGAAGUGGGUAGCCUAACCUUCGGGAGGGCGCUCACCAAGGUAUGUUUCAUGACUGGGGUGAAGUUGUAACAAGGUAGCCGUAGGAGAACCUGCGGCUGGAUUACCUCCUUU